CUCAUUUUAGAAACAACUGUCCUGGAUGAGGUCCAGUUGGAUGUGCCAUUGGAUGAUGUGCUAGAUGUUCCACAGCUGCCAGUCCUCCUUGAUGUCCAGAAUGCUGCUAUCAUCCUUGAGGAUGUGCCAGAUGUGCAGACUAUCCUUGAGGAGGCCACUGGCAAUUGGCAGUUGAUUCUGAUUAGGUUCAGCCCCCUGUACUGUGGGCCUGUUGUGAUCAGGAACAAUGCCGGUCCGGUGGUUAAAGCUUGGAGAACUUUCCAGUUCAUCAGCCCCAUCAUCACCUACAUGCGUGGGGGAUCCCAGGUAUGUGUCUUUGU
rnacentral:lncRNA from 1 species